rnacentral:pre_miRNA from 1 species
UUAAUACUCCCUCCGUCCAGAAAUACUUGUCCUAGAAAUGGAUGUAUCUAGAAUUAUUUUAGUUAUAGAUACAUCCAAUUUAUCCAUUUUGAGAACAAAUAUUUCUGGACGAAGGGAGUACCUA